ACAGUCGGGGCCGAGUGGUUAAGGCGAUGGACAUGAAAUCCAUUGGGGUUUCCCCGCACAGGUUCGAAUCCUGUCGGCUGCG
rnacentral:tRNA from 1 species